CUCUCUCUCUCUCUCUCUCUCUCUCUCUCUGGUCUGCAGUCCUUUGAUAGCAACAGUGAUAGAGAAGCAAUGGAGAAAGGAGCGACUAAGAAGAAAUCAUCACCUCUCUCUCUGCAACAGUUCAUCACUAUCACCACCCCUCUUCUUGACUUGGAAAAGGAAGCUGAGAUAUCAAGCUCAAUCGCCACGGGCGCAUCAAGGAAUCUGGAUACUGCUCAAAAGAAAGGUUCCACAAUCCUUAACUUGAAGUGUGUGGAUGUCCAGACAGGGCUUAUGGGAAAAUCUCUGAUUGAGUUCCAGUCUACAAAAGGAGAUGUUCUUCCUGCACACAAGUUUAGUACUCACGACGUCGUCGUUUUAAAACUCAACAAGGCUGAUCUAGGUUCUCCUGCUCUUGGACAAGGUGUUGUUUAUAGAUUAAAGGACUCGUCAAUAACUGUUGCUUUUGAUGACAUACCUGAAGAUGGUUUAAACAGUCCCCUAAGGCUGGAAAAAGUUGCAAAUGAGGUGACAUAUCGCAGGAUGAAAGAUGCAUUAGUACAGUUGAGUAAAGGAGUGCAUAAGGGUCCAGCUGCUGAUCUAAUUCCGGUCUUAUUUGGGGAGAGGUCGCCAACAAUGUCCAAGAAGGAUGUUUCCUUCACUCCUUUUAAUACCAAACUUGAUCACUCUCAGAAAGGUGCAAUUUCAAAAGCCCUAUCUUCGAAGAAUGUGUUUUUGCUACAUGGACCUCCUGGAACUGGGAAAACUACAACAGUGGUGGAAAUUAUAUUACAAGAAGUUAAACGUGGAUCAAAGAUUCUUGCUUGUGCUGCCUCAAACAUUGCUGUUGAUAACAUCGUUGAGCGGCUAGUUCCACAUAGGGUUAAGCUGGUGAGAGUAGGUCAUCCUGCACGCUUAUUGCCUCAAGUACUGGACAGUGCACUGGAUGCUCAGGUACUACGAGGAGAUAAUAGUGGCCUUGCAAAUGACAUUCGAAAAGAAAUGAAGGCAUUGAAUGGAAAGCUAUUGAAAACCAAAGACAAAAGUACAAGGAGAGACAUACAAAGGGAACUUAGGACUCUAUCCAAAGAAGAGCGCAAAAGGCAGCAGCUUGCUGUAACAGACGUACUUAAAACUGCAGAUGUAAUAUUGACUACUCUGAUUGGGGCCUAUUCUAAGAAACUCGACAAUAUGUCAUUUGAUUUGGUAAUUAUUGAUGAAGCUGCUCAAGCACUUGAAAUUGCAUGUUGGAUUCCUCUGUUGAAGGGCUCAAGAUGUAUCCUUGCAGGGGACCAUCUUCAACUUCCUCCAACCAUUCAAAGUGUUGAAGCUGAGAAGAAAGGUUUAGGAAGAACCCUCUUUGAACGACUUGCAGAAAUAUAUGGAGACGAGGUCACAUCUAUGCUUACAGUCCAGUACCGUAUGAAUGAACUCAUCAUGGAUUGGUCUUCUAAAGAACUUUACAACAGCAAGAUCGAGGCUCAUGCUAGUGUUGCUGCACAUAUGCUAUAUGAUCUUGACAAUGUGCAGAAGACAUCGUCAACUGAACCAACUCUUCUUCUCAUAGACAUUGCUGGAUGUGAUAUGGAAGAAAAAAAAGAUGAAGAAGAUAGCACCCUUAAUGAAGGUGAAGCCGAGGUUGCUAUUGUUCAUGCCAAGAGACUCGUUCAAAGUGGUGUGCUUCCUUCUGAUAUUGGAAUUAUUACCCCAUAUGCUGCCCAGGUUGUUUUGCUCAAGAUGUUGAGAAACAAUGAGAAUCAGCUGAAGGAUGUCGAAAUCUCAACAGUUGAUGGCUUUCAGGGAAGGGAGAAGGAAGCCAUUAUUAUAUCAAUGGUCCGAUCCAACUCAAAAAAGGAGGUGGGCUUUCUGAGUGAUCGCCGGCGUAUGAAUGUGGCUGUGACACGGGCACGAAGGCAAUGCUGUCUUGUCUGUGACACCGAGACAGUCAGUAGUGAUGCAUUUCUGAAGCGGUUGAUAGAGUAUUUUGAAGAGCAUGGCGAGUAUCAGAGUGCAUCCGAAUACCAGAACGAGUAGGCUGAAUUCUCAAGGUUAAUGUUGCUAUUGCUGCUGUCUUCAGAACUAUUGGUUGUUUUGAUGAUGUUGCUAGUAGAUCUAUGAAGGUUUUCUCAAUCCAAGUCAUGGAGUGUAAGACAAAAGCAAGGGUUAACAUGAAUUGUCAAAAAGCUGCUAAUUAAUGUGUCUGAUGAAUGGAAAAUGGGAGAAGUAAAGGUGCAAAUUUUGGAGAAAUCUUUCAUCUCUACUUUUCAUACACAUUACAUUGUGUUAAUGCUUAUAUAGGUUGGUCAUUUCCCAAAGCUUGAGCAAUUAUAGGAGAUAAAACACUAGAGACUUGUCAGAAUUCUUGCAUAUUAUUUAUUUUCAUAAAUCAUUCAUACCACUGUUAUGCUUGUCUUAUUUUAUGUGAUUUUGUUUUUGUUUUGUUUUUUCUUCUGACUUAUAACCUAUCUAGUGAGUUGUUGAACUUGAUAUACCAAUAAUCAUCGUUUUCCUCUGUGAACUACUUUGCCAGAGCAAAACAUAAGAUUGAAAGAACAAUGUUAGAACUUAACACUCCCAAAAAUGCUAAAAAUUGAAACUCAGCAAGCAUAAGACAAAACAGGAAUAGACUGGAGAGUAGCAGUAGAACCAAAACCAUCCUAUCUAUGCUUAGGCCGAU